rnacentral:rRNA from 1 species
GACGAACGCUGGCGGCGUGCUUAACACAUGCAAGUCGAACGGAAAGGCCCUGCUUUUGUGGGGUUCUCGAGUGGCGAACGGGUGAGUAACACGUGAGUAACCUGCCCUUGACUUUGGGAUAACUUCAGGAAACUGGGGCUAAUACCGGAUAGCAGCUCCUGCUGCAUUGUGGGGGUUGGAUAGUUUCGGCGGUUGGGGAUGGACUCGCGGCUUAUCAGCUUGUUGGUGGGGUAGUGGCUUACCAAGGCUUUGACGGGUAGCCGGCCUGAGAGGGUGACCGGCCACAAUGGGACUGAGAGACGGACCAGAGUCGUACGGGAGGCAGCAGUGGGGAAUAUGGCACAAUGGGCGGGAGCCUGAUGCAGCAACGCCGCGUGCGGGAUGACGGCCUGCGGGUUGUAAACCGCUUUCGCCUGUGACGAAGCGUGAGUGACGGUAAUGGGUAAAGAAGCACCGGCUAACUACGUG